rnacentral:rRNA from 1 species
AUUGAACGCUGGCGGCAGGCCUAACACAUGCAAGUCGAACGAGUGGCGGACGGGUGAGUAAUGUCUGGGAAACUGCCUGAUGGAGGGGGAUAACUCCUGGAAACGGUGGCUAAUACCGCAUACUAUCGGAUGAACCCAUAUGGGAUUAGCUAGUUGGUGGGGUAAAGGCUCACCUAGGCGACGAUCCCUAGCUGGUCUGAGAGGAUGACCAGCCACACUGGAACUGAGACACGGCCCAGACUCCUACGUGAGGCAGCAGUGGGGAAUAUUGCGCAAUGGGGGCAAGCCUGACGCAGCCAUGCCGCGUGAAUGAAGAAGGCCUUCGGGUUGUAAAGUUCUUUCAGCAGGGAGGCGUUACCUGCAGAAGAAGCACCGGCUAACUCCGUGCCAGCAGCCGCGGUAAUUC